GACGAACGCUGGCUGCGUGCUUAACACAUGCAAGUCGAACGGAAAGGCCCUGCUUUUGUGGGGUGCUCGAGUGGCGAACGGGUGAGUAACACGUGAGUAACCUGCCCUUGACUUUGGGAUAACUUCAGGAAACUGGGGCUAAUACCGGAUAGGGGCUCCUGCUGCAUGGUGGGGGUUGGAAAGUUUCGGCGGAUGGGGAUGGACAUGCGGCUUAUUAGCUUGUUGGUGGUGUAGUGGCUUACCAAGGAUUUGAUGGAUAGGGGGUCUGAGAGGAAGGCCCGCCACAUUGGAACUGAGACACGGGCCAAACUCCUACGGGAGGCAGCAGUGAGGAAUAUUGGUCAAUGGGCGAGAGCCUGAACCAGCCAAGUAGCGUGAAGGAUGACUGCCCGAUGGGUUGUAAACUUCUUUUAUAAAGGAAUAAAGGCGGGUAUGGAUACCCGUUUGCAUGUACUUUAUGAAUAAGGAUCGGCUAACUCCGUG
rnacentral:rRNA from 1 species